CAGAGGUGCCAAGCGUUAGGCGGAAUCACUGGGCUUAAAGCGUGUGUAGGCGGAAUUGUAAGUACCUUGUGAAAUCCCACGGCUCAACCGUGGAACUGCUCGGUAUACUGCUUUUCUUGAGCCACUUAGGGGCUGUCGGAACAAACGGUGGAGCGGUGAAAUGCGUAGAUAUCGUUUGGAACGCCAAAGGUGAAAACAGACAGCUGGGAGUGUGCUGACGCUGAGACACGAAAGCCAGGGGAGCGAACGGGAUUAGAUACCCCGGUAGUCCUGGCCCUAAACGAUGUCGACUAGAUCGUGGCGGCUCUGACGCCGUCACGGUCGAAGCAAAAGUGCUAAGUCGACCGCCUGGGAAGUACGGUCGCAAGGCUA
rnacentral:rRNA from 1 species